AAACUUCAAGUUGAUCUCUGAUCAUUACAUCACAAUAGAUUAAUUGUUUUUACUACAAUAUGAUUCUUAUAUAAUACAAUGUAUGUGAUGCAGUGCUUCCUCACAGUGUUUCUGUAGUUCCUGUCUCUGCCUGUAGAGGUCAGGGUUUCUGUAGUUCCUAUCUCUGCCGGUAGAGGUUAGGGUUUCUGUAGUUCCCGUCUCUACCUGUAGAGGUCAGGGUUUCUGUAGUUCCUAUCUCUACGUGUAGAGGGCAGGGUUUCUGUAGUUCCUAUCUCUAUGUGUAGAGGGCAGGGUUUCUGUAGUUUCUGUCUCUACCUGUAGAGGUCAGGGUUUCUGUAGUUUCUAUCUCUGCCUGUAGAGGUCAGGGUUUCUGUAGUUCCCAUCUCUACCUGUAGAGGUCAGGGUUUCUGUAGUUCCUAUUUCUGCCUGUAGAGGUCAGGUUUUCUGUAGUUCCCGUCUCUGCCAGUAGAGGUCAGGGUUUCUGUAGUUCCCGUCUCUGCCGGUAGAGGUCAGGGUUUCUGUAGUUCCUAUCUCUGCCUGUAGAGGUCAGGGUUUCUGUAGUUCCUGUCUCUACCUGUAGAGGUCAGGGUUUCUGUAGUUCCAAUUUCUACCUGUAGAGGUCAGGGUUUCUGUAGUUCCUAUCUCUGCC